CGCUCAACAUCGAUGCGUAAGAUCAUGAGGGAAGAAUUCCCCAAUGUUCAGCAUGAGUUUGACAUCUGGCAUACAGCGAAAGGUUUGAGGAAGAAGAUACAGAGGAAAGGAGCAAUUAAAGGGAACGAAAUUCUUGCUGCAUGGAGCAGGUCAAUCAUAAACCACCUGUGGUUUACCUGUGCCACAAGCAAGGG